rnacentral:lncRNA from 1 species
UUCUCCAUUUUUUUCAAAAUAAAACCAUAAUAAAUAUUAAUAUUUAUAAUAAAAAAAAUGUAAAUAAACAUUAAUUUUUUUUUCAACUCUCCAUGAAUAUCCCCCACCCAUAUAUAUGCAUGGUUCUUCACAAGAAAGAGUGCUUAACCCCAUAAUCGAACAUCAUCAGUGAAAAACGGUGGUGGAGAGUUUGCAGGUGCUGGUGGUUGGAGAGAAAUGAAGAGCUUGAUCUACCAUGUUAUCGCGGGGCGUUGGUUCAUGCUCUAUGCAUCUAUGCUUAUCAUGGCUGCUGCAGGGGCAGUUUAUAUGUUUGGCAUGUACUCUAACGAGGUUAAAACCUCUUUUGGGUAUGACCAAACCACUGUUAACUUGCUCAGCUUCUUCAAAGACAUGGGUGCCACAUUUGGAAUCAUAUCAGGGUUGAUCAACGAGGUAACACCACCCUGGGUGGUACUCUCAAUGGGGGUUCUUAUGAACUUCUUUGGCUACUUCAUGAUAUGGCUUGCAGUCUCUGACCGAAUUGCCAAACCCCAAGUUUGGCAAAUGUGUCUCUACACUUUCAUUGGUGGAAAUUCUCAGACCUAUGCCACCACUGGUGCUUUAGUCACAUGUGUCAAGAACUUCCCAGGAAGCCGUGGUAGUCUUUUAGGCCUACUCAAAGGUUACGUUGGUCUAAGUGGGGCCAUCAUGGCUCAGUUCUACCAUGCCUUUUAUGGUGAUCACAACCCUAAGGCCCUUAUCUUACUCAUUGCUUGGUUCCCUGCUGCUGUCUCCUUCCUUUUCCUUCCAACAAUUCGGAUAUUCAACAACGUUUUCUAUCACCAUCGCAACGUGAACAGGGUUUUUUAUCACCUUCUAUACAUUUCACUUGCCCUUGCAGGGCUUCUCAUGGUUUUGAUCAUAAUGCAAAACAAGCUCACUUUUACAAGGCAGGAAUUCGUAGCCGAUGGGGUUGUGGUUUUCUUCCUUCUUCUUCUCCCACUUGUUGUUGUAUUUAGAGAGGAAAUAAACCAACUGAAAGCCAAAACGGAAGGUGUAACCGAUUCAACAUCCCAGUUGAAAGUAGUCACUGAAAUUAUUCCACCUCCAAACGCGGAGCAAGAAGUACCAGCAACAAUAAGUUCGAACGAGACAAGUUCUUGUUUCAGGAACAUACUGAACCCCCCAAAGAGAGGAGAAGACUACACCAUUUUGCAAGCACUUUUCAGUAUUGACAUGCUGAUUCUGUUCGUUGCAACAAUAUUUGGUGCUGGCGGAGCAUUAACAGCCGUAGACAAUCUAGGACAGAUUGGAAGGUCAUUGGGAUACCCGAGGAAGAGCAUCACAGCAUGCGUGUCCUUAUUAAGCAUAUGGAACUAUUUGGGACGGGUAGUUGCAGGUUUUUCCUCUGAAACCUUGUUGACCAAAUACAAAGUCCCUCGUCCCUUGGUUUUCACUCUUGUUAUGCUUCUGAGUUGUGUUGGCCAUAUUCUGAUUGCCCUUGGUGCCCCAAACGCCCUCUACUUCGCUUCCAUGAUUAUAGGGUUCUCUUUGGGAGCUCAGUGGCCGCUAAUCUAUGCGAUCAUAUCAGAAAUAUUUGGCCUUAAACAUUACUCCACGCUGUACAACUUUGGAGCCGUGUCAAGCCCUGUUGGAUCUUACAUUCUAAACGUGAGACUCACAGGUGUUUUGUAUGAUAAAGAGGCUUUGAAACAGUUGAAGGCCAAAGGACUCUCGAGACAAGCGGGGAAGGAGCUUAACUGCGUUGGAGUGCAGUGCUACAGAAUGGCGUUUAUCAUAAUGACGGUGGCAACGCUCUUUGCCUGCUUUAUUGCAUUUGUUUUGGUGCUGAGAACUAGAAAAUUUUACAAGGGGGAUAUCUAUAGAAACUUCAAAGUGGAACACGUAGCCGAAGAGAAUGAGAUCACCAAAACUGGUAUCACAGAAGCACACGCAACUGCCUUAGGAGAAGAGGAUAAGAAAAAUGGAAAAUGAAGUGUUUGGGUUUAGUUACUGUUAUUAUUAUGUCUUUUUUUUUAUAAACUUAAUGCACUACAUUAUCUUAAAGAUACCUUGUUCAUAAGCUGAAUUGUAAAACAUAGUUAUCCAAAACGUAGGAAAGGAUUCAGUCAUGGAAAGUGAUCCACCCACUUACAAAAGAGAAGGUAUAUUAAUGGAUUUCUUCAUCACCACGAUGACUCACUUGUGUCGUCAUAUCCUACUCAUACUCUUCCUUUCACACACUCUUUUACUUUCCAACUUUUUCCCUUUUGUCACAAAGGAAAGUAAUAAGCAAGAUAUUAAAUAAAUAAAUAAAAACACUUUUUUUAUUCAUAUGGAUAAAAAUAAAAUAAUAGUGGAAAAUAAGAGAUUUUUUUCUGAUUUAUAUGAGUAGAAAUAAGUAAUUAGAAUAAUUUAAAAGUAUUUAUUUACUUUUUGUAUUUUUCUUGGUAUUAAUUACCCAUUAGUGUUUUAAAAAAUAUUUAAAUUUUUAAGAAAUUAAAAAAAGAUAUUUCCUCUCAUUUUAUGUUAAUUUAAUGAAAAGUAUUUUUCUCUCCUUACUUCUUCUAAAUAAAAAAUUAUUUUAAUUAUAUUUUUUCAUUUUUAAAAUAAUCAAUGGGUACUCCAACAAAAUCUAAAACAUAAACAUCCAUUUUCAUUUGCAAAGUACAGUUUCAUUAAAGUUUUGUACAUCUCUAAUAUUCAAUACUCUUAAUUCUUUAGUCAUGCUAUUUUAUUUUGUUUUAAAUCCUCUCUAGGAAUUGUCUUUAUAAUUUCCUUAUUUCAUUAACUACCAAUCUUGAAACUUCGAAAAAAGAUUACUUAUUUAAUUUAUUACCAAUUUUGGAACUUUGAAAAAGAAGAGCAAGAAUAGAGAAAAAGUUUAAAUAAAAAUCUAAUUAAGUAAGCGUUUAUUAAAAAUAUUUUUUUUUCAACAAUAAAUAGAAUAAUUAACACUAUUUUAUUUUUCCUUUUUUCUUCUUCUAUUAAAAUUUUCCCCUAACUUGAAAACACCACAAAUAUGCGUGUUGAAUCGCAGAAAGGUAUGGAGAGAAAUUUUGAGACCAAUUUUACACGACAAUUGUACAUUUGAAUGGUAUUGCAACAUCAUACUAUUUGUUAGCAUAGAACUUUCAUACCCUCAUAACAACUUAAAGAAUUUUGAGGAUUUUCAAGCAAAAAUUGAUGAAGAAAUGGCCUAUUUUUGUUACCUGUUAAAUCAAUGUCUCAUUAGUGUACAAUUUCACUUAUUGCUUUAUCAUAGAACUCGCCAUAGACCCAAAUAAUACAUUUUAAAAAAUUACACUUUUAUAAAAGUAGCAGAAGAAAAGCAACCAUAGCUCAAACAAGUGAAUUCACAUGGGCCGACCAAAAAAAACUGAAUUCACAUGAGCCUCGGCUAAAAUUGGGCUUACCAAUAUAGUGUCUUACUAGUUUUUUACAGCAUGCUUCGUUAGAUACAAGGAUGGCUUAUUCUUCCUGCACCCCUACGUUUUUCUUCCUUCACCCCCAUAAUUUUCUAAAUCCCGAAACUGACCUUGAUCUUUUAUUUGAAAAAGGACACUGUGAUUACCGGAAAUCAGGAUCUGGAAGUGUACUACGGAUUCAUCAAUCCGAAACUGAAUCAUUUUUUUCUGGGAAGCCUAAUUCUGUUAUGGAUUGGUGGAUCCAGAAUGCUUUUUUUUUUUUAAUUAUGAAUUUCUAAAUCCAGAAUGAAUAUUUUUGUUACAUAUUAAUGGAUCUGGAGUGUUUUUUUUAAUGUGAAAUGCAUAUUUUGAAUUACGGAAUGGUGGAUCUGAAUUUGUACUGGAAGUGUCAAUCCAAAAUUUUUUCAGAUUCCAUAAUCCAGAAUGUAAAAAAAUAAAUACAAUUCAAAUACAUUUUAGAAUUUUUAGGACAUUUUAGUCUUUACAUAACAUUGUUUACAUAACAUUGUGGAGGUGGUGGAAGAAAAAUGUAGGGGAGUAGAGAGAAACUGCCUACAAAUAUACUUUUUUACAGCAUGCUUAGUUAGAUACAAGGAUAUGGAUAAUAUUAUUAUUUUAAUAUCUUUUUAUAUCAUUUAAUUUUAAAUUUAUUUUUAAACAUAAAAAAUCAUAUAAAUUAUAAGAGUUCAACUAUUAUUUUUUUAUACACAAUCAAAUAUAGAGAUACCAACGAGGUCCAUCAAUUGACUUUUUUCCGUGAAUAGUAUGGAAAUUGAAAAAAAAAAAUCCCUAGCUACACCACUCUUCAUUUUAUUUCUCAGUAUUAAACCGUUUACUGUUCAUAGGUGAGAAUUUGAUCCUCGAAAUUCACAUAUAUAUUUUUUUGUUUCCGGCACAAAAAUCCUCCUGGUGGAAUUUGGUUAUCCGAAACCGAAUUUUGGAUGCAAUUUUGAAUUUUAUUUUAUUUUUGGAGCGGAAGAGACGUGGAUUUUUUGUGAGAGAUCGGAAUUUGAUUUUUAAGAGCCAACUUUUCAACUAUAUUGUGCAUUUUCAAAGAUAAAAAUCAUUUCAAAAUUUGGUUACAAGUGGUGUGGUGUAUUAAGUGACCAUAAUUUCGAUAUUAUUUUUUAAUUUUGACAUCUAAAACUUCAUCCAUAAUAAAUUCAUCAAAUGAUGAAUGGUUCUGUGUUUUUUUAUACUUAACAGUGAGUGUGGGAGAAAUAAGAAAAAUAAAUAAAUGUUAAUAAUUUAAUUAAAAAUAUUUUUCUCAAUUUUUGCGUCUGAAACUGUAGAGGUUUUCAUUUAUUUUUUUUUUCACUGUAGGGAGUGAGUGGGGAAGAAGAAAGAAAAAAAUAAAAUAAAUCAAAAUUUUAAAAUAGGUAAAAAAGAUGUUGUGAAAAAGAUAAUUAAAAAUAGAGAAAAUAAAUUUUAAGUGAUUUGUAAAAGGAACAAAUUAUUAAAGUAAGUUAGGUUAAAUAUAAUUUGGUUAAAUUUUUAAAAAUAUAAGAAAAUAUUAAACUUUUUUGGAUGUUUAUUGUUAUUGGUAAAUUAAUUUUUUUUGCUAUGAUUUAAAAAAAUGUAGUUAAAAUGUUAAAUCAAACUAAACGUAAUAUUAUUUAUUAAUUUUAAAAUAGGAAAAAAUAAAUUAAAAUUUUUAUCCAAAAUUAGGCGACGUCGAAAUUUAUUUCAAGAGAAAUUUAGUGUCAGAAACAAAAAAAUAUAGGUGAGAAUUUGAUGGUUAUAUGUUAGGGAAAUAAAAUUAACAGUGGGCAAUUUUUUUCAAUUUCCGUACUAUUCACUGAAAAAGUCUCAUCAAUUCCAUCUUUCCCCUCUUUCCUUGGGUGGAUAAGAAAUUGUUUUCUUUACAAUUUUGGUGUAUUGUAAAUAAAAAUAUUUGUAAACAAAAUUUAUUACAAGAUUAAGUAAGUCAUGUGUGACCAUUUUAGUGUUAAUUGAAAAUAUAAGUGAAGUUGUGUGUUAUUAAUAUUGAUGUUGUCUUCAUUGAUAACCAUUUUUUCUCAUCGAAACGUAAUUUAUCUAAAUUUAUAAUAAAUUUUUUUACCCAUCUUAUAGUUAUGAAGUAAAUUGCAUCAUUAUGAAAAACCAGAUAAACUAUGGUAUGAUCUAAAAUUAUCAUGGGACAUUUAUGUUCAUCCAAUUUGCAUGUAAUGAAUAACUCUAUUUUGUAGAUACCAAAAGUAAGGAAUGGUUCAGGUGACGUACCAAAAUCAAAUUAUCUCACUAUUUUGUUCCGCAUAUGUUGCAUUCGACCGGACCAGAAUUUAGGUACAGAAUUUAGGCAUAUUAACAAAUAAAGCUCAUCAAUUCCAUACUCUUCUGUCUUCUCUUUGGACAGUGCAGUGGGUAGAGUUUGGAGAUGAUACCCAUCAUGCGAAGAAAAAAGAAGAAGACAACAUUAACACAACGAUUCAGGUGAUAUUAGAAAGAAAACUGGGCGAAAAAAAAAGAAUAAGAUGAAAAUAUACAAGUUAGAGAUAGAGAGUAAACAAAUCACGUAAAAUAAAGCAAGAAGCUAGAGAUUUGAAGCUGGUGAUAACGUCGAGUAACCAAACAUGAUUAAUUAUUUGAGUGAUCACUUCAACUUUGGCCCGAAAUCAAUCUUAUAUACUGUGUCAGGCUAAAACCUUGUAGAGUUUAAAAAUUAACUUGGACAACUAGUUGUGUUCAAAUUUGUCUUACCAAUACUUAAAAUAAGCGUGGAUUGCACAUUUCUGGUAUAAAGUGGUGGUGGCCACCUCCAGUUUACCAUUGAUUCCAGGCUCUUCUAAAAUGGUGGCUGCUUAGGACCACCACAUAUAGUGCUCGUCACUUUCUCAAUUCAUAUAAUUGUACUUACCACAAAAUUAUUAUCACACCUUUUUCUUUUCCUAAAAUACCUUACAAGAUCCUUCCCCUGAUACCACCGGCCUUUAUUUCCAAAAACCACCGCGUCAAACUACAAUCAUUUGUUCCGUGUGCAACUUUUUUUUCCUCACACAGGGAAACAAUCUUCCCACACCCCACUCAAUCCAUAUACAUUCACUCCUAUACUAAGAAUUAUUUAAAGGUUUGGAACACGUGGCUCAUGUUAAUCUCUGAUACAUCAUUAACAUUGAUUACCUGACUGGCCGAAACUGCGAUAUUUUCUCUAUAUAUUCGUGAUUCUGGAUAGCCUCAGCUCACUUCAUUCAACCUCUUUUAUCUCACGCCACCAAGAUAGUGUUUGUUUGAUCCAUAAAUAAAAGAUCAGUGUAAAGUGGUGGGGGUUUGAGGGAAUG